rnacentral:rRNA from 1 species
GACGAACGCUGGCGGCGUGCUUAACACAUGCAAGUCGAACGAAGCCUUCGGGCUUAGUGGCGCACGGGUGCGUAACACGUGGGAAUCUGCCCUUCGGUUCGGAAUAACAGUUAGAAAUGACUGCUAAUACCGGAUGAUGACGUAAGUCCAAAGAUUUAUCGCCGAAGGAUGAGCCCGCGUAGGAUUAGGUAGUUGGUAGGGUAAUGGCCUACCAAGCCGACGAUCCUUAGCUGGUCUGAGAGGAUGAUCAGCCACACUGGGACUGAGACACGGCCCAGACUCCUACGGGAGGCAGCAGUGGGGAAUAUUGGACAAUGGGCGCAAGCCUGAUCCAGCCAUGCCGCGUGAGUGAUGAAGGCCCUAGGGUUGUAAAGCUCUUUCGCCAGGGACGAUAAUGACGGUACCUGGAUAAGAAGCCCAGGCUAACCUCGUG